GAUGAACGCUAGCGGCAGGCUUAACACAUGCAAGUCGAGGGGCAGCGGGUGUAGCAAUACAUGCCGGCGACCGGCGAAAGGGUGAGUAACGCGUGAGCAACGUGCCCGUAUGUGGGGGAUAGUCGAUGGAAACGUCGCGUAAUACCCCGUAACACAUGGUCUCGCAUGGGACUGUGUUGAAAGAUUUAUUGCAUACGGAUCGGCUCGCGUGCCAUUAGGUAGACGGCGGGGUAACGGCCCACCGUGCCGACGAUGGCUAGGGGUUCUGAGAGGAAGGUCCCCCACAUUGGAACUGAGACACGGUCCAGACUCCUACGGGAGGCGGCAGUGAGGAAUAUUGGACAAUGGCCGGAAGGCUGAUCCAGCCAUGCCGCGUGCGGGACGACGGCCCUAUGGGUUGUAAACCGCUUUUGCGGGGGAGCAAUAAGAGUCACGUGUGGCUCGAUGAGAGUACCCUGCGAAUAAGCAUCGGCUAACUCCGUGCCAGCAGCCGCGGUAAAG
rnacentral:rRNA from 1 species